rnacentral:rRNA from 1 species
CUACGGGAGGCAGCAGUGGGGAAUAUUGGACAAUGGGCGAAAGCCUGAUCCAGCCAUGCCGCGUGUGUGAAGAAGGUCUUCGGAUUGUAAAGCACUUUAAGUUGGGAGGAAGGGCAGUAAGUUAAUACCUUGCUGUUUUGACGUUACCGACAGAAUAAGCACCGGCUAACUCUGUGCCAGCAGCCGCGGUAAU